CCUACGGGAGGCUGCAGUGAGGAAUAUUGGUCAAUGGGCGCGAGCCUGAACCAGCCAAGUCGCGUGAGGGAAGACGGUCCUAUGGAUUGUAAACCUCUUUUGUCGGGGAGCAAAAGACGCUACGCGUGGCGUUCCGAGAGUACCCGAAGAAAAAGCAUCGGCUAACUCCGUGCCAGCCGCCGCGGUAAUACGGAGGAUGCGAGCGUUACUCGGAUUUUUUUGGUUUAAGGGGUUCGCAGGCGGAAGAUCAAGUCAGCGGUAAAAUUGAGAGGCUCAAACGCUUCGAGCCGUUGAAACUGGUUUUCUUGAGUGGGUGAGAAGUAUGCGGAAUGCGUGGUGUAGCGGUGAAAUGCAUAGAUAUCACGAAGAACUCCGAUUGCGAAGGCAGCAUACCGGCGCUCAACUGACGCUGAUGCACGAAAGUGUGGGUAUCGAACAGGAUUAGAUACCCCAGUAGUC
rnacentral:rRNA from 1 species